CGGUGGAUGAUGUGGAUUAAUUCGAUGCAACGCGAAAACCUUACCUACCCUUGACAUGUCCGGAAUCCCGAAGAGAUUUGGGAGUGCUCACAAGAGAGCCGGAACACAGGUGCUGCAUGGCUGUCGUCAGCUCGUGUCGUGAGAUGUUGGGUUAAGUCCCGCAACGAGCGCAACCCUUGUCAUUAGUUGCCAUCAUUUGGUUGGGCACUCUAAUGAGACUGCCGGUGACAAACCGGAGGAAGGUGGGGAUGACGUCAAGUCCUCAUGGCCCUUAUGGGUAGGGCUUCACACGUCAUACAAUGGUCGGUACAGAGGGUUGCCAACCCGCGAGGGGGAGCUAAUCCCACAAAGCCGAUCGUAGUCCGGAUCGCAGUCUGCAACUCGACUGCGUGAAGUCGGAAUCGCUAGUAAUCGUGGAUCAGCAUGUCACGGUGAAUACGUUCCCGGGUCUU
rnacentral:rRNA from 1 species